GAUGAACGCUAGCUACAGGCUUAACACAUGCAAGUCGAGGGGAAACGACAUCGAAAGCUUGCUUUUGAUGGGCGUCGACCGGCGCACGGGUGAGUAACGCGUAUCCAACCUGCCCACCACUUGGGGAUAACCUUGCGAAAGUAAGACUAAUACCCAAUGACGUCUCUAGAAGGCAUCUGAAAGGGAUUAAAGAUUUAUCGGUGAUGGAUGGGGAUGCGUCUGAUUAGCUUGUUGGCGGGGUAACGGCCCACCAAGGCAACGAUCAGUAGGGGUUCUGAGAGGAAGGUCCCCCACAUUGGAACUGAGACACGGUCCAAACUCCUACGGGAGGCAGCAGUGAGGAAUAUUGGUCAAUGGGCGAGAGCCUGAACCAGCCAAGUAGCGUGCAGGACGACGGCCCUAUGGGUUGUAAACUGCUUUAUAAGGGAAUAAAGUGAGUCUCGUGAGACUUUUUGCAUGUACUUUAUGAAUAAGGACCGGCUAAUUCCGUG
rnacentral:rRNA from 1 species